rnacentral:ncRNA from 2 species
CCAAUAGCGUAUAUUAAAGUUGUUGCAGUUAAAAAGCUCGUAGUUGAAUUUCGGGAUCAAUAUGUUGGUCGUGCCUCGGUACGUACUAGCUUAUUGGUUUCUCCUUUCUGAAGAACCAUGAUGUCAUUUAUUUGGUGUCGUGGGGAAUCAGGACUGUUACUUUGAAAAAAUUAGAGUGUUUAAAGCAGGCUCACGCUUGAAUACAUUAGCAUGGAAUAAUGAAAUAGGACGUUUGAUUCUAUUUUGUUGGUUUCUAGGAUCGACGUAAUGAUUAAUAGGGAUAGUUGGGGGCAUUAGUAUUCAAUUGUCAGAGGUGAAAUUCUUGGAUUUAUUGAAGACUAACUACUGCGAAAGCAUUUGCCAAGGAUGUUUUCAUUAAUCAAGAACGAAAGUUAGGGGAUCGAAGACGAUCAGAUACCGUCGUAGUCUUAACCAUAAACUAUGCCGACUAGGGAUCGGAUGAUGUUAAUUUUUUAAUGACUCAUUCGGCGCCUUACG